UUCGACGGUGUCUUUGAUUUUGCC
rnacentral:siRNA from 1 species